rnacentral:ribozyme from 1 species
UGCCCAGAAACUCCUAUCCCUACCUCCUCGUGGUACUGGCCGGGUACGAGUAACCAUAGGGAAAAUGUGGUAACCAACCCCAGUGGGAACUUCGGUCGCAUGCUGACAGGGAAGU